rnacentral:misc_RNA from 1 species
CCGUGACCAUCGGGUGGGCGAUCGAUGUUUGCGCAGGCAACCUGCGCCAACACAUACCUAGCAUGCGCCACUGCCCCUUGGUCCACCCUUCAACUUUGAGGACAUUCCUUAAUUUCCCAGUCCGUUGGCUGAUUUGCUUUUUGGUCCCAAUAAGUACGUUAAGCUAUAGCCACAGUCCCCACUCCAAAAAUCUAUUCACUCCUCCUACUUCUUCAACUAAAAAUGCUAAAGAUAUGA